AGGGCAACACGCUGCAAGUGUUCGUCAAAUUGUUAGUAUCAAUGCCUCAAUUCUAACAGAGAAUUUUCCGUAGGAGCACAUAGCAUUAAUCAAGAAUCAACUCGGCAAUUUUUGGAUCAGACAAGAUUCAGGACCGUGCAUGCUUCUCACCUUAAUAGACACAUGACAUUAAUCAAGCAUAUUUGUGCAUGUUUCCACAAUAAGGUAUCAGUCAUCUGAAGACAUGCGGGUGAAAAUAUUUGGUGACCAAGCCGGGCUGCCUUUGUCGAUGACGAAGAGAAAUUUUUGGGCUGCCUCGAUUUGGGACAGUGAUGACGUCCGAGUUGGAUCUUGGGGAUGACAAAACCCCUACAUGCAUGCCAGUGGCAAAAGCGCCGCCAACUGAGUUAUCAU